rnacentral:rRNA from 1 species
GUCUUUUUGAGAAUAAUUAAAAGUCUAACCUGCUCAAUGAAUUUUUAAAUAGCUGCGGUAUUUUGACCGUACAAAGGUAGCAUAAUCAAUAGUUUUUUAAUUGAAAACUGGAAUGAAGGGUUGAAUAAAAAAAUAACUGUCUCAAUUGAAUUUAAUUAAAAUUUUAUUUUUAAGUUCAAAAGCUUAAAUUUAUUUUAAAGACGAGAAGACCCUAUAGAGUUUUAUUAAAAAAAUGUAUUUUUAAUUAAGAAUUUAUAAAUUUUGUGUUUUUUUAAUUUGGUUGGGGUGAUUGAUAAAUUUAGAAAACUUUAUUUAAUCAACACAAAAAUAUUUGUUUUUUUGAUCCAAUUUUUUGAUUAUAAGAUUAAAUUACCUUAGGGAUAACAGCGUUAUUUAUUUAGAGAGUUCAAAUCGAAAAAUAAGUUUGCGACCUCGAUGUUGGAUUAAAAUUUAAUUUUUGGCGUAGAAGCUGGAAUUUUAGGWCUGUUCGACCUUUAMAAUUUUACA